rnacentral:misc_RNA from 1 species
AGUGACAACAUACGCACACACACACACACGUGCUCCAUGGAGCGCAGAAGAGCUUGCAUUACCUCGCACAACUCGUAGGGCGGCAUUGCUGCAACUGGCACACACCACGGUCGGUAUGCUCGACUGCGUCGUUUUGCGCACGGCACACAGCACGCUUCAUGUGCUUCUUCACAUGAUCUCGCAAUGGGCGCACGCGCUGCUGAAGCUGUCCGUGAAGCUGUGGGUGCUGGCCACGGGUUGCUGCCCAGGGACGUUACGCGCUGCAGAAUGAGCGUCACAUCGAGGUAGUCACCUCCACGAAGUACCCGUCUAUGGGUGCGAAGCCGCUGGCGACGUUUGGACUGAGCUAGGACAUAUUGUACCACGGUGCCUUGGACAGUGUGCGCGUCUACAUUAUUCUUAGCGUCCUUGGCGUCAGCUGCCGCGUCACCUACAACCGGGAGCCACCGGAAGGGUUUGACGACAAUCCAAUGUGCCGGGAAUGUCUGAAGGUGCCAAAGGCAGAGGAGGACAAAAAGGAAUCGUGCUCGUAGUCGCUGGUUCGGUGGAACUAGAGGUGGGGGGGGUGCGAACACCCCCACCCCCAAUAAACAGCGACGGGUUCGCAGCUGCGAGGCAAAGAGCUUCCGCGUGUGUCCUCUCACUUCACGCGGCAUGGACUCUGAUCGUCUUACACAGUUGCAUCUCACCGGUGUCACCUUUACCCAGUGCACGCGUACCGUGAUGGUGUGUGGUGCUCGGUGCACGAGCAGCUGCGCGCGCGUUUCGGGGGUGAGCUGGCGACCUCCUUCCUCGGCUACAGCACUGUUGGAAUGACAAACCUGAAGGCGGCUGCGGAUUAGUUUGACGCGUUCAAGACGAAUCCGUCCCGCUACCCCGGCGGCUCCCCCAGUGACAGCGCUGGUGAGCAUGAAUGCCUCGUUCAGCAUAUUCGUGCACGGCCACGCGAUCUAGCGCUGCGAGUUUCUUUUUCUUGUUUGACUAGCGCCCGAUGAGUGACGCGAUGAGGAAGUAUGCGAAGCAUGAACACCGCUUGGCUCAAGGGCUGCUAGGUCUUCCCCCAAUGAAGGACAAAGCCGAGUUGAGCGCGCUGCUGCAGGGGUUCGCCAACACCAGCGACUACAACGAGCGCUUGGUGGUGCCGCACUUCGCAUACACGGAGGGCGGCGCGAGCUACUACAAGGGUGCGGCAGCUUUCAAACGGCUAAUUCGAAUGAACGUGCCCCUCCCCGUCAUCUGCCUGGCAGCGCGUAGCGACCCAAUCACCGGCGAAUCCCGCACCAAGGCGCAGCGGCAGGCCCUCAUCGAUGAACACCCCAACGUCGUGCAUGUUGAGACGCCAGCGAGCGGCCACUUAUCCUGCUUGCCGGGCUCUCUCAACGAGGUCAGAGGACGCGGGGAGUUCUUCAUUUACUUCACGCUGAAAGUCUUCCAGCACGCCGUGCGGGUAUUGAAGGAGACAAAUGCGUAGUUGAGCGCGCGUGCUGUCGGUUCAAUGGUGAAUACGGCAGUGGAUGUCGUGCUCUGCGCUACCCACGCUAUCCCCGGAAGCACAAAGGCAGGAGAGCGGCACAAAAGCCGCCGAAACUGCUCACCUUCCCUCCCCCUCCACUAUCACCGCUAGAGCGUGCUUUAUCGAGAUAGCAGGUGGUCUGAGGGGUCCACAGGCCCACUGCAAAACCAACGCCGCCUGCUUCAUUCACCUUGAUGCACGGGCUAGGGUUGGAUAUGCGAGGGAGAAGGCGACAGCCAUCUUGACGUGCCUCGCGCGGCGCCUGUUACGCUCAAGCUCCGCACACCUACUUCGGAUGUGCCAUACAGGGUCUCGUUCUGCUCACCGGAGCUGUGGGAAAGAGGCCCUGUGGAGAAGCGUGCACACGCACACACUCGCCAAAGUGCCGCACGUGUGCGCCAUCGCACCUCUACGCGGUCAAAAUACUACAAAGAAAACAGUCAUCGACAUGCACAGCGAACAUACGCGCAGUGCGCGGUGCCCGCCUGACGGCUUUGGUCUGCGGCUGUCAUUCGCUUCUUCCUCUCAUCUGCGAGUGUAUUGGAGAGGCAGAAAUGAGAAGAGGCGGAGAAUUUGGGUUUAGGAAGACUAUCGUCAUGCUCACCGUCCUCUUCUGUUCGCCAGUGCAGAGAGCGCUUUUUGCUUCGCGUUCUUCUGACUCUGUCUGAUCCCCGUACUUCGGUUUGUCUUUUCCGGCCACAG